AGAGUUUGAUUCUGGCUCAGGAUGAACGCUGGCGGCGUGCCUAACACAUGCAAGUCGAGCGAUUUACUUCGGUAAAGAGCGGCGGACGGGUGAGUAACGCGUGGGUAACCUGCCCUGUACACACGGAUAACAUACCGAAAGGUAUGCUAAUACGAGAUAAUAUGCUUUUAUCGCAUGGUAGAAGUAUCAAAGCUUUUGCGGUACAGGAUGGACCCGCGUCUGAUUAGCUAGUUGGUAAGGUAACGGCUUACCAAGGCGACGAUCAGUAGCCGACCUGAGAGGGUGAUCGGCCACAUUGGAACUGAGACACGGUCCAA
rnacentral:rRNA from 1 species